rnacentral:rRNA from 1 species
AACGAACGCUGGCGGCAUGCCUAACACAUGCCAGUCGAACGAGACCUUCGGGUCUAGUGGCGCACGGGUGCGUAACGCGUGGGAACCUGCCCUUAGGUUCGGAAUAACUCCCCGAAAGGGGUGCUAAUAACGGAUAAUGUCUUCGGACCAAAGAUUUAUCGCCUUUGGAUGGGCCCGCGUUGGAUUAGCUAGUUGGUAGGGUAAAAGCCUACCAAGGCGACGAUCCAUAGCUGGUCUGAGAGGAUGAUCAGCCACACUGGGACUGAGGCACGGCCCAGACUCCUACGGGAGGCAGCAGUGGGGAAUAUUGGACAAUGGGCGAAAGCCUGAUCCAGCAAUGCCGCGUGAGUGAUGAAGGCCUUAGGGUUGUAAAGCUCUUUUACCCGGGAUGAUAAUGACAGUACCGGGAGAAUAAGCGCCGGCUAACUCCGUG